GCGAGAUGAAGAUAAAUUUCAUGGUCUGUCAAUCCACUGAAAGUAUGUUGAUGUUACUCAUGAAUCCCGACAGGUUCUGAUCGC